rnacentral:rRNA from 1 species
ACGCUGGCGGCAGGCCUAACACAUGCAAGUCGAGCGGUAGAGAGAAGCUUGCUUCUCUUGAGAGCGGCGGACGGGUGAGUAAUGCCUAGGAAUCUGCCUGGUAGUGGGGGAUAACGUUCGGAAACGGACGCUAAUACCGCAUACGUCCUACGGGAGAAAGCAGGGGACCUUCGGGCCUUGCGCUAUCAGAUGAGCCUAGGUCGGAUUAGCUAGUUGGUGAGGUAAUGGCUCACCAAGGCGACGAUCCGUAACUGGUCUGAGAGGAUGAUCAGUCACACUGGAACUGAGACACGGUCCAGACUCCUACGGGAGGCAGCAGUGGGGAAUAUUGGACAAUGGGCGAAAGCCUGAUCCAGCCAUGCCGCGUGUGUGAAGAAGGUCUUCGGAUUGUAAAGCACUUUAAGUUGGGAGGAAGGGUUGUAGAUUAAUACUCUGCAAUUUUGACGUUACCGACAGAAUAAGCACCGGCUAACUCUGUGCCAGCGGCCGCGGUAAUACAGAGGGUGCAAGCGUUAAUCGGAAUUACUGGGCGUAAAGCGCGCGUAGGUGGUUUGUUAAGUUGGAUGUGAAAUCCCCGGGCUCAACCUGGGAACUGCAUUCAAAACUGACUGACUAGAGUAUGGUAGAGGGUGGUGGAAUUUCCUGUGUAGCGGUGAAAUGCGUAGAUAUAGGAAGGAACACCAGUGGCGAAGGCGACCACCUGGACUAAUACUGACACUGAGGUGCGAAAGCGUGGGGAGCAAAC